UUGACCCGAUCCGAAAACCGACCCGAAUCCGACCCGAAAAAAACGGGUCUUGAACAAGAUUUCUCAACCCGUAACCCGUUUUUAUCCGAACCCGAACAACCCGGAAUUUUCGGGUCCAAAACGGGUCGGGUUCGGUAUGACCCGUCGGGUUUAGUGAUAAAGUGAUUUACUUAUUUUCUUGAAUUUUUUUUUUUGAAAAAAGGGUAAAAAAACAAAACCUAAAACUAAACUCUCAAACAGCCGCUGGCUGCUCUCAAACCCUCAUCUCUCAUUCUCUCUCAUAGCCUCAAACCCUCUGGUUUACCGCCGACAUGGGUUGACGGUCAAGCUCUCGUCCUCCUUUGCAUAAGCGAGGAGCUUCUCCAGCAGGUCGCAUUCUAUUUCCUCGUGGUCAAUCAAUUUUUUCAUCAUCUUCAUCUCCCACUCUCGAAGAAGGAGUUGAGCCUAAUUUGGGUGGUGCAAGUACUGGUGCUACUAGUCGCGGACUCGUGGUGGUGAGAGUGGACAAGAAAACUAAUGACCACAAGAAAAUGGGCAUCAAAUAUGUACUAGUAUAUUAUAUUAUUACUAAUAUAAUUACUACUAUAUUAUAUUAUUAAUUUAUUACUAAUUAGAUCUCUCUGCAAUGUUAUAUUAUUAUUACGAAUUUACAACUAUGUUUAUAUUGCUGCUGCAUUACUAUUUCUUUCAUGCUUUAUAUUUAUUAAUAAUUAGAUC